CUUUUGGCGGGGCGCGGGGUGUCGCGCGGGCGGGGCUGGGCGCUUCUCACCUUGGCGCCCGUUUGUGAGGGAGCUCCGCCGGUGCCUGCUCGGCUGCUGUCAGUGUGCCUUCGGCCUCGUGUUGAGCUUUGUGCUUAGGAACGGGGAAACCUCGCUCAGAUGCUCAAUGCCGUCCUUCUCCCUUGCCCCUGAACUACAGCUCAGAGCUAACAAAACUGUAUUCCUGGAUGAAAUUUUAACAGAUCCCCAGCAUAAAGUUUCAGCUCGGGGCAAUGUGGAGGUGCCGCAGAUAAACAAGAAGAACAAUUCUGCGUAUUGAACUCUCAAACGAAAGUUUACUUUCCCUCUUCUCCCUGUCUACCUGUGCUCUGAGGCAACAAACACUGCUUCAGUGGCAAGAAAAAGGAGCAGAACAGAACUGAACAUUUCCGUGCUUUCAGAAGGAAGAAAAAAAGUCAGGAGUUUAUCUUUCAAGGAUGACUGCUCUUCAAGUACACCAGGUGGGAUCCAAUCAUGCGCUGCAUCUGAAGUGCACUUGAGAUAAAUUCAGGAUAGGUUCAUGCUUGGCCUCAGCUCUCACCAGAUCUGAAAAAUUCCAGAAGAAAUGAUACCAACAAGAUAAAAGGAGGAAAAAAAACAAAAAUACAAAAAUACUUUGUAUUUUCCUGUCCACCUUAAAACUAAGUAUCUGUAGGCAAUUCAUACUGGCUUCUAGAUGUUCCUAAGCAGUCACAGACUUUGCUGGCUACCAAAGAACGUAGGUGUCCAGAAAUAUUCUCUAAAAAUCACUCUGCUAACCCAUUUGAAGCUCAUUUUCCUCUUCUACAAACUACUCUAUAUUAGCACAUUUCUCAUCUCUUAGUCUUUGUCAUCUUGACUAAUGACUUUACUCAUCUGUACUAGUUUACUCACUCGUUUCAAUACUUUGCUAGAUCACAGGAACAUUUUGUGACUUAAUUAAAUUAUCAGUUAGAGCUCAGAGGUCUUUGAAUGAAAACUGUUAUGUUCUGUAACAGCAGAAUACUAUGAUUACAGUUCUGGAAAACAUACUACAGUGUAGAGACUUCAUUUCUCUUUCAUAUUUGCUGUUUGGACAUUGGCAGAAGUGAUGGUGGUGAGACUGGAGCUGAAGACUCCAACCUCAACUCUGAGCAAAAAGCUUGGAAAAAAAACCAUUGUUUGAGACAGAGAAGAUUGAAAGAAAACCAUUGCAAAUCAUUUGUAUGAACUGAUAAAAGCAGGGAAGGAAGAGAAAGAGCUUUGGAGAGGAGACGUGGAGGAAGAGGACACAAGUCUGUGUGAGCAAGAGAGUAGUUCAUGUUUCUUGUGAACUAUAGAUUCUACCUGAUGUGGUCAUAAUCCAAUGGGAAACUAUAGCGUUUCCUUUAAUCUCAUUCUCAUUGUGUCUUAACUUUGUCUGAAAAUCUGAUUUGACCCAUAUCAUGGCUGUAUUCUCAGUAUGUCAAAUGCCUCCUUUCUGCCCCCUACUAGAAGCCCCAUUUGAGAAGCUUUGUUAAAUGGAAAAUGUAUUAUCAGUGAUUCCCUUGCAUCUUUGUUGUUUGUUUGUUUGUUUGUUUCAUUCCCCUCCAUUUGUAAUCCUCACAUUCUUCUUUCUGUUUGUAGCCUCUGCUCUGUAUAUUCCAUGACGUGCUCAAAAAUUCUGAAUAAUUUCCACUGUGAAUUCUAAAAACGAUUUACCAUUUCCAGAAAGCGGCAGCAACAAUCAGUCUCUUAUGCAGAUUGCCACCUUGUUGCUACUUGCCAAACUGUCUCAUAUUUCUCACAGCUCACAACUGGUACACCCUGGGACUCCUGACCUUCCUUCUGGAAGUGUGCAAGCCAUUACCGUAUACAUUUAUGCUGGCUGAAGUAGCUGUUGAUUUUAUGUAGGCUAGGAGGUGUUGACCCAGCUCCUUACCAAACUCCCCCUUCUACUUAGUCCAGGACACAUCCAUCUGGUUCAGCCAUCAGAAGAUCCGUUUGCUGUUCAGUGACAACUUUGAAAGGAAGUCUAUACUUGACUCUCCUCUCCUCUGCCUGCUCCAGACUGAAGGUAAAAUGACUGCAUGUCUGAAGACAGCAGAUGUCUCAGAGAUGUAAAUGUUCAGCACUCCUGAAUCAAAGCCACAGCAUAACUGAAUACACUACUGUAUAAAGAAAAUAUUGACUGUCUUUGUAUUUGUUUGCUUUCUGUGUAGGGGUAGAAAAUACUAGUAAUGUUUAAACACCUCUUUAGAGUCAUUACAAGAUAUUGUGCAAAUAUAGUAAAUUUUCCCCAGUAAGCAGGCAUGAAAUAUACAUUUGCUUAUCAGAACGAAACAGUUCCAGGGGAGGCCUUGAUGUCUGUCAGGUGAAUCAUCUAAUCUUCAGUUUUAAUAUAUUGAACUGGGUAAAUAAGUCACUUUUUAGAGGUGUCUAAAUAUACAUUUCCCCGAGAGAGCUUUUUCACUCUCUAGAGUAAGCAAAUCAUGCUUAUAUAAAGAUUUUUUUUUUCUUAUUUAAAAGGUGUGGUUACCUGAGUAAAUAGUUGCAGCAUAAGUACUUACUGUACGUACCAAACAUACUUGAUUACAUGCAUUUGUCUCUGUAAUAAUACCUAUUGC
ensembl:lncRNA